rnacentral:rRNA from 1 species
AUUGAACGCUGGCGGCAGGCCUAACACAUGCAAGUCGAGCGAGCGGCGGACGGGUGAGUCAUGUCCGGGAAACUGCAUGAUGGAGGGGGAUAACUACUGGAAACGGUAGCUAAUACAGCAUACCAUCAGAUGUGCCCAGAGGGGAUUAGCUAGUAGGUGGGGGAAUGGCUCACCGAGGGGACGAUCCCUAGCUGGUCUGAGAGGAUGACCAGCCACACUGGAAAUGAGACACGGUCCAGACUCCUACGGGAGGCAGCAGUGGGGAAUAUUGCACAAUGGGCGCAAGCCUGAUGCAGCCAUGCCGCGGGUGUGAAGAAGGCCUUCGGGUUGUAAAGCACUUUCAGCGGGGAGGCGUUACCCGCAGAAGAAGCACCGGCUAACUCCGUGCCAGCAGCCGCGGUAAUAC